GUCGAGCGAACAGACGAGGAGCUUGCUCCUCUGACGUUAGCGGCGGACGGGUGAGUAACACGUGGAUAACCUACCUAUAAGACUGGGACAACUUCGGGAAACCGGAGCUAAUACCGGAUAAUAUAUUGAACCGCAUGGUUCAAUAGUGAAAGACGGUUUUGCUGUCACUUAUAGAUGGAUCCGCGCCGCAUUAGCUAGUUGGUAAGGUAACGGCUUACCAAGGCAACGAUGCGUAGCCGACCUGAGAGGGUGAUCGGCCACACUGGAACUGAGACACGGUCCAGACUCCUACGGGAGGCAGCAGUAGGGAAUCUUCCGCAAUGGGCGAAAGCUUGACGGAGCAACGCCGCGUGAGUGAUGAAGGUCUUCGGAUCGUAAAACUCUGUUAUUAGGGAAGAACAAAUGUGUAAGUAACUAUGCACGUCUUGACGGUACCUAAUCAGAAAGCCACGGCUAACUACGUGCCAGCAGCCGCGGUAAUACGUAGGUGGCAAGCGUUAUCCGGAAUUAUUGGGCGUAAAGCGCGCGUAGGCGGUUUUUUAAGUCUGAUGUGAAAGCCCACGGCUCAACCGUGGAGGGUCAUUGGAAACUGGAAAACUUGAGUGCAGAAGAGGAAAGUGGAACUCCAUGUGUAGCGGUGAAAUGCGCAGAGAUAUGGAGGAACACCAGUGGCGAAGGCGAC
rnacentral:rRNA from 1 species